GCCCUGGUAGCUCAGUCGGUUAGAGCAGCGGACUCAUAAUCCGUUUGUCGCGGGUUCGAGCCCCGCCCGGGGCA
rnacentral:tRNA from 2 species